GAAUCCUCCAUAGUCUGAUGAGUGUGGUGUCUGACUCUGGAGCCCAGGCUGUUGCCUCCUGGUCUGGUGAUGAAUCCUCCAUAGUCUGGAAAAGGCUGAGUUUGAGCUAUUUGCCUUUGAGUCAUGGAGACAUCAACAGUAUUUAGGGUACAGGUCCAGGGGAAGAGGGAGAAUGCCUAGAUCCGACUGACCCAGGAGACCUCGGGGCAGCCUCUAGUCCCCCUGUUCAAUCUUAAAGCUACAGUAAUGUGGUACAAGAUAUCAUCUUGCCACUUGUUUGAGGAGCUCAUUCCAAUCCAGUUCCUGACCAGACAGGGCCCUGCCAUUCGUUCCAG